UAAGGGCAUUAGAGGGGGCUGGGGAUUGAGAAGGGCUGGUAGAGAUGGCUGGGGGGGGGCUGGAGAGAUGAGGAGGGGGUUAGUAUAAAGUGCUGAGGUGCUGAAAACGGGGCAUAUAGAUGGUGCUGAGGAGGGUAACGGGGCUGAAAAGGUGGAUAUUGGGUAUUAAGAGAGGCUGAAAGGGUAGAGAGGGGCUGUUGAGGGAGUUGGAACGGGCUAUGGGGCUGAAGAGGGACUAGAUACUAUUGAAAAGGGUCUAAUAGAGUGUUAGAUCCUGUUGAAAAGAUUUUGUAAAGUUAAAAAGUUAAAGAAAGGGAUAUGUGAUCUUUAAAAAAUGUUUAAGAGUGUUAGAUAAUGUUGAGAAAGGGUCGGGAAAACGUAAAAGGCUGAGAGGGUUAGAUAAUGCGUAAAAAGGCCUGGGAAUGCUUAGAAGACGAAGAAAUCAUUAAAUAUAUAGUGUUGAAGAAAAGCUGAAAGAGAGUUGGAUGCGGUUAAAAAGAGUUUGGGAAUUUAAAAAAAAAAGUUUAAAGCUCUUAGUGAGAAAGCAGGCUCGAUGUUAGAUGAUGUUGAAAAGGGUUGAGAAAGUUAAAAAAAAAGAAAAGGAAAGGAUUAGAUAACAUUCAGAAAGUUAAAAGCGUGUUAGAUGAUUUUAAAAACGGGUUGAGAAAAUUAAAAAAAGAUAAGGAAAGGAUUAGAUAACAUUCAGAAAGUUAAAAGCGUGUUAGAUGAUUUUAAAAACGGGUUGAGAAAGUUAAAAAAGAUAAGGAAAGAAUUAGAUAACAUUCAGAAAGAGUCAAAAGCGUGUUAGAUGAUUUUAAAAACGGGUUGAGAAAGUUAAAAAAGAUAAGGAAAGGAUUAGGUAACAUUCAGAAAGAGUAAAAGCGUGUUAGAUGAUUUUAAAAACGGGUUGAGAAAGUUAAAAAAAGAUAAGGAAAGGAUUAGAUAACAUUCAGAAAGAGUCAAAAGCGUGUUAGAUGAUUUUAAAAACGGGUUGAGAAAGUUAAAAAAGAUAAGGAAAGGAUUAGAUAACAUUCAGAAAGAGUUAAAGACGUGUUAGAUGAUUUUAAAAACGGGUUGAGAAAGUUAAAAAAGAUAAGGAAAGGAUUAGAUAACAUUCAGAUUGAGUUAAAACCGUGUUAGAUGAUUUUAAAAACGGGUUGAGAAAGCUAAAAAAGAUAAGGAAAGGAUUAGAUAACAUUCAGAAAGAGUUAAAGAGUGUUAGAUGAUUUUAAAAACGGGUUGAGAAAGCUAAAAAAGAUAAGGAAAGGAUUAGAUAACAUUCAGAAAGAGUUAAAGAGUGUUAGAUGAUUUUAAAAACGGGUUGAGAAAGUUAAAAUAGAUAAGGAAAGGAUUAGAUAACAUUCAGGAAGUUAAAAGCGUGUUAGAUGAUUUUAAAAACGGGUUGAGAAAGUUAAAAAAAGAUAAGGAAAGGAUUAGGUAACAUUCAGAAAGAGUCAAAGCGUGUUAGAUGAUUUUAAAAACGGGUUGAGAAAGUUAAAAAAGAUAAGGAAAGGAUUACAUUCAGAAAAUUAAAAGCGUGUUAGAUGAUUUUAAAAACGGGUUGAGAAAGUUAAAAUAAAUAAGGAAAGGAUUAGGUAACAUUCAGAAAGAGUAAAAGAAAGUUAGAUAAUGUUGGAAAGACUGGGAAUGUUGAAGUGUGUAAAAGUGAGCUAUCUCUAUCUCUAACUCUCUCUCUCC